rnacentral:rRNA from 1 species
CCUAAUUAAUUCUGCUAGUAGUUAUAUACUUGUCUCAAAGAUUAAGCUAUAUAUAUCUAAAUAUAAGUAAUUAUACAGCGAAACUGUAAAUAGCUUAUUAUAUAAGUUAUCGUUUAUUUAAUAAUAUCUUACUAUUUAGAUAACUGUGGUAAUUCUAAAGUUAAUAUAUACUAAAAAUCCUAACUUUGGAAGGGAUAUAUUUAUUAGAUUAAAAACUAAUACCUUUUGGGGCUUACUAGUGAUUUAUAAUAACUUCUCGAAUCGUAUAGUUUUAUGCUAGUAAUGGUUUAUUCAAAUUUCUUCCUUAUUAAUUUUCGAUGCUAGAGUAAUAUUCUAGUAUAGUUAUAAUAGGUAAUAGAGAGUUAGAGCUUAACCUUAGAGAAGAAGCUUGAGAAAUAGCUACUAUAUCUAAGGAAAGUAGUAAGCAUGUAAAUUACUUAAUCCUGAUAUGGAGAGGUAGUGAUAAUAAAUACUGAUAUAAAGCUUUUUUAGGUUUUGUAAUUAGAAUAAGUAUAAUUUAAAUUUCUUAAUGAGGAAUAAUUAGAGGGUAAGUUUAGUAUUAGUAGCUGCAGUAAUUCCAGCUUUAAUAGUGUAUAUUAAAGUUAUUAUGGUUAAAAAGCUUAUAGUAGAACUUUAGGUCUGGCUAACUGGUCCGUCUCACUAUAUAUAUUAGUCCAGUUAGGCUUUUCCCUCUGUGGAACUGUAUACUUUUCACUAAGUAUACUGGAGAAAUAGGACUUUUAUUUUGAAAAAAUUAGAAUGCUCUAGGUAGACCUAUACUUAAAUAUAUUAGUAUAAAAUAAUAGAAUAGGAUGUAUGAUUUUAUUUUAUUAGUUUCUAGGACCGUUAUAAUAAUUAAUAGGGACAGUCGGAGGUAUUAGUAUUUAAUUAUCAGAGGUGAAAUUCUUAGAUUUAUUGAAGACUAACUACUAUAAAAGUAUUUACUAAGGAUAUUUUUAUUUAUUAGGAAUGAAAGUUAGGAGAUUGAAGAUAAUUAGAUACUGUUGUAGUCUUAACUAUAAACUAUACCGAUUAGGGAUCGGACGAUAUUAUUUUUUGACUUAUUCGGCAUCUUACGAGAAAUUAAAAUGCUUAGGCUCCAGGGGGAGUAUGGUCGUAAGGCUGAAACUUAAAGAAAUUGAUGGAAGGGCACUACUAGGGGUAAAUAGUAGUUAUUUAAGCUCUGCUCCAGAUAGUAAGCCUGUAAAGGGUUUAGUGGCUAGCUCCGAAUCGUUAGUUACUCCAGUGGUGGCAAUAUCCCCCAAUUAUGGGAAACCCUCAGAGGGUAGUAUUCCUAAGUAGCGCUUAAAAGAGACGCUGUGGCGGCGGCGUAACGGCUGCCGGUAUGGGGAUAAUAUGCUACUUAUAAGGUGACUUGCAGCUAAGCUCCUAACCACAGGGAAGGUUUAGAGACUUAAUAGAGAUAAGUGGCGCCCCCAGGCGCCGCCUAAAAUAGAGUCUAUACCCACUCGAGAGAGUGGAGACUAAUUAGUAUGUUACCUGAAAAGGAAGCCUGCAGCUUAAUUUGACUUAACAUGGGGAAACUUACUAGAUCUAGAUAUAAUAAGGAUUGAUAGAUUAAGAGCUUUUUUUUGAUUUUAUGGGUAGUAAUAUAUAGCUAUUCUUAGUUAGUAGAGUAAUUUAUCUGCUUAAUUAUAAUAACGAAUGAGAUCUUAACCUACUAAAUAGUUUAUAUUAUUUUAGUAGUAUACUAGCUUCUUAGAGGGACUAUUAGCUUAAGCUGAUAGAAGUUUGAGGUAAUAACAGGUUAACUUUUAUAGGUUUGUAAUAG